CGCGAAACCUUUACACUGCACGAGAGUGCGAUAAGGGGACUCCCAGUGCGAGGGCAUACAGUCCUCGCUUUUCUGGACCGUAGGGAGGUCCAGGAACAAGUGCUGGGCAAGACCGGUGCCAGCCGCCGCGGUAAUACCGGCAGCACGAGUGAUGGCCGAUAUUAUUGGGCCUAAAGCGUCCGUAGCCGGCCAGACAAGUCCGUUGGGAAAUCCACGUGCUCAACACGUGGGCGUCCAGCGGAAACUGCCUGGCUUGGGGCCGGAAGACCCAAGGGGUACGUCCGGGGUAGGAGUGAAAUCCCGUAAUCCUGGACGGACCGCCGAUGGCGAAAGCACCUUGGGAGGACGGACCCGACGGUGAGGGACGAAAGCCAGGGUCUCGAACCGGAUUAGAUACCCGGGUAGUCCUGGCCGUAAACGAUGUCCGCUAGGUGUGGCGCAGGCUACGAGCCUGCGCUGUGCCGUAGGGAAGCCGUGAAGCGGACCGCCUGGGAAGUACGUCUGCAAAGAUGAAACUUAAAGGAAUUGGCGGGGGAGCACUACAACCGGAGGAGCCUGCGGUUUAAUUGGAAUC
rnacentral:rRNA from 1 species